GAAAGAGUACUGAACCACUAGAACAAGCUUCAGGAUCACCAACGCACUCUUUUAUGUGAGACUUGGAUUGCUAGAAAUGGUACUAGGGUCAAAGAUGUCGGAGGCCAGUGCAGAGUGAUACCAGUGUUCACUUGUCGUACACGGAUGAAGGUGGCGGUCGAUGGAGCCUUCCUUUCACUGAAUCAAGAUAUCCACUGAGGCCCUCCC
rnacentral:lncRNA from 1 species